rnacentral:rRNA from 1 species
GAUGAACGCUAGCUACAGGCUUAACACAUGCAAGUCGAGGGGCAUCACAAGGUAGCAAUACUGAGGUGGCGACCGGCGCACGGGUGAGUAACACGUAUCCAACCUGCCGUUUACUCUUGGAUAGCCUUCUGAAAAGGAGAUUAAUACAAGAUAGUAUCAUGAGAUCACAUGUUCACAUGAUUAAAGAAUUUCGGUAAACGAUGGGGAUGCGUUCCAUUAGAUAGUAGGCGGGGUAACGGCUCACCAAGCCGACGAUGAAUAGGGGUUCUGAGAGGAAGGUCCCCCACACUGGUACUGAGACACGGACCAGACUCCUACGGGAGGCAGCAGUGAGGAAUAUUGGUCAAUGGACGCAAGUCUGAACCAGCCAAGUCGCGUGAAGGAUGAAGGUAUUAUGUAUUGUAAACUUCUUUUAUCAGGGAAUAAUGGCCGCUACGUGUAGCGGAGAGGAAUGUACCUGAUGAAUAAGCAUCGGCUAACUCCGUGCCAGCCGCCGCGGUAAAAC